rnacentral:lncRNA from 1 species
CAGUUCGGAUCCUCUGUCCCAAUUUCCUGUCCCACUUCGUGUCCCCAAAGCAAAACUACAGCGUUUUGAUUUAAAUUAAUUAUCUUUUCUUUUGUUAACAUUUCCACCGAUCGGCUCGGCUGGUUGAAGCCGCAAAUCAUCAUCUUCUUCUUCUUUCCUUCUCCAUCUAAAUCUCCUCUAUUCUCUCUCUUGGAAAAUUUCUCCCUCCACCGAAAAAUGGGGAUUUCAUAUUCUGAAUUUCUUCAAGGUAAACUAUUCGAUUGUGCCAAAGAGUUCACGAGAUUUAGCUAUGGGUUUCUUUUAUUUUCUAUAGUUCUUCGUGAAUUCUUAAUUAACAGAGCCUGAUAACAGAGUGUUGUGAUUGGCUAUAAUUUUUUGUUGUGAUUUUUCUGGCUCAAGUCAAGGAUUGGUUUCUUCAGCCCCUUUUUCUAUGUAUUUUUUGUGUUAUUGUGAUUCUUGAUUAAAUGAGAAUUAUUGUUGUGUUCCUGAAAAUUCCUUGUUUGUUAAUCGAAAAUUCUAAUGGCUGCCAAAGUAUGUAAAUUUAUCUAACAGUUGGUGGAUAUGAGUUAACCGACCCUUUUGAUAUUGAGACUCCCAUGGUUGGUCGAUAAGUGCAAAGUCUUACCUGCAAAAGUAUGUAAAAAUAAUAAACGCAAACUGGAUUCUUUCAAUUGAUAAUGAAACAAUUAAGUUAUAUAUGAUUUCGAUUUUUAUUUAUUUAUGUUCUUUUGAAUCAAAUUAAUUUUAGUAUAUGAUUUGGAUGAACUUGUUUCUUGAUUUAUGUGAUACUACAUUUGGAUAGAUCAAAUUAAUUUUUGUUGUAUAUAUGAUCUGUUGUUUUUUCAGAUUUUUAGUCUACCGAGAGACUUGUUGAUUGCUCAACAUAUUUGCAACUUGGGAACAUGAAAUAUUUUUGGCUGAAAAAUAAAGGAAGGAAAAGAGAAGGAAGGACAUGGAUAUGUUGAAGGCUGUUGAGGCUUAUCUUCACGCAAAUUCUGAUGCUUGAAAGCUCCAUACAUAAAGCUCUAUAUAUGUUGUUUUAUCUUGGUUUGUUGUUCAUUUUAAGUUAGCAUUGGACCUUGUAGGGUGUGAGUUAUAAGCAGUUGUGAUUUUCUAUUCAAAUAAAAGAGUGUUUCUUUGUAUCUUUUUGGUCUUGUGCAAGUAUAAAGUUGUUGGAUUUGUCUUUGAAAAAUGCCAAAAAGUUUGUUAAUUCGUGUCUUGAAUAUAUAUACUAGGAAAAAGAAAAGUUUGAUGUCAAUAGCAGCAUAUGUUACAGUUGAAAUUACAUCCUCUCUCAACAACAAUCAAGAAUGAUGGUAAAUAAAGAAAAAGAUGAAGUGAGGAAGAUGCCAUCCAAAAUCUCAAAUAUCUAAGUCAUCCAAGAAGCUCUGCAGCUCCUUCAACCCUUCGGUGGAGAUGCUCUGAUGCACUCUUCCGCGAGGAACGGCCAGAUUGGGCGGUGGCUCCGGCUGGAAACAGACCACGACCACGGAUAAAUUAUCCCCGCUCCUCUGCUUCAGAGCCUUGUCGACAAGAUCCUUGCUGCACAUCAAUGGGUCAUUGUGUUCCUGGAGUCUUCUACGGGCAAAAUGCAACGCGUUCUGGCUCAGGAACACGUCCCACAGGCUGUCACACCCUAUGACGAGAAACUCGUCUUCCUCCGUGAGCCUCGUGGUCAUGAGAUCAGGCUCCGAUGUAAGUGGUCCGCCAUCACCACCUUUCAGCCCUUCCAUGUGCCAGUCGCCCAAUGCACGAGCAAUGUUGAGCAGCCCGUUGAGAUACCCAUCGUAUACAUAACCUCCCGAGGCUUCUAUACAACGCAGCUGCCUCAAGCAAACGGGUUUAUGAUCUCUCGACAUCUCAAUUGCUUUGCCCCUUCGACACAGCAUUGCUCUGCAGUCUCCAGCAUUCACCACCACCAGUGGGCAUAUACUAGCAAUUGCAAGAUUAUGAUCAUUUCUCUAAGGAAUUUUCCAUCUCUAACAAAGUCACUACAUGCUGCAAAUUUGUAUGCAACCAACACUAUUUACUAUUGCAAUUUUAAUAACUGAUAGAGGAGGAGAGAGAUGAGAUCAGCUAAAGAAAAGAACAGAGAUGAACAGGGAAGCAACAUCUAGAGAUCAGUUUUGAACAAAAAUCUCAAUAUUUGUUUCAGCAUGUAAAAUGCAGCAGUCAGCAAGCGUGUAAAGUAGCAGAACAAUAACUUGUUAAUUUAUAUAUAAAAAAUCAAUCUUAAUUUACUGCCAAUUUACAGUUGAAACGAAUUUCACAAACAUUAUUAAUUUAACCAAUGAUUAAAUGGAUGUGAUAUUUGCCAGUUUUCAGUUCAUCAUCUUGAUGUGAAAAUUUUCAAUAUUCAGUUCAAAUUGAUAGAACAUAUGAUCUUAUUUAUUUAUACACCAUCUCACGUAUGUAUAUCGCCAGACUUCAUAUCCUAACAGUAUUUUCACUCAAUCAAGAAUCACAUUAACGCAAAAAUACAUAGAAAAUGGGCAGAAGAAAUAAUUUAUGUAUAGAUCAAGAGCCAGUGUACUUAGUUAAGAACUCACAUAAAAGAAAACUCACCCGUCGUCUUCAAGGUAAAAUGUUCGAUUGCAUCGAAAAUGGAUGUCGUGAUGUUCUUCACUCUAAAUCGGUUCUUCUGGAAAAAGAAAAUUAAUAAAAAUCGAGCAUGAAAGCUUUGUGGAGAAGAAGAAGAAAAGAAUGAAGCAAGAAAAAGAUUGAUUUUGAAUAUUCAUAACCAAAUCCCGUGCAGAAUAUGAAAUCCCCAUUUUUCGGUGGAGAGAGAAAUUUUCCAAGAGAGAAUAGAGGAGAUUUAGAUGGAAAAGGAAAGAAGAAGAAGAAGAUGACUUGCGGCUUCAACCAGCCGAGCCGAUCUGUGGGAGUGUUAACAAAAGAAAAAAUAGUUAAUUUAAAUCAAAACGCUGUAGUUUUGCUUUGGGGACACGAAGUGGGAUAGGAAAUUGGGACAGAGGAUCCGAACUGGGGACCAACCGUCACAUUCGUUUUUGGCCUUCGCUAAAAUUAGAUCCAUAGAUGGUAUGGAGAGAUACUUUUUAUUAUAUUAUUGUCAAGUUGAAUAGAUGAUAGCAUUUAUUAUAAUUAUAAAUGAAUAAAAGUAUUGUCCUAUCGUGACACAGUUUCGAAGAAAAACAGAGAAUGUAUGUGAAUCGUUGAAUUAUUAUUAUUUUGAUCACUGAAUUAUUAUAAGAAAUGUUUUGACAGAAAAGUGUUGGGUGUCUGUCUGUGUGUUGGCCCCUGCAGCAACAGUGAAGGCAGUUAUUUUCGUUUUUUCAAAUGCCUACAUAAAAAUAAAAUGAAUGUGCUUAAGAUUUAUGUAGAUUGUUGCGAAUGAUAUUUUAUUUCUUCGCUUGAGAAAAUUGUGGCAAUUGAAUUUUAAUUUCGUAGAUAUUGGAACCAUUUGUUUUCCCUUUAUAAAUUACUAUUUGUGCAUUGAUUUCCACGAUAAGAUAUACACCGCAUAUCAAUGCAAAAUUGAGGUGAUCUUGGAUGCACCCGAGUGUACCAUACAUCAGGGAUUGACCCGUAUCCAGAUUUUGACCCAUAUCUUGAUCCAAACCCGCAUUCUGACUCAAAUCGUGUAAAUGAUACUAUUCGAUUAUACAAAUGACACUGUUUGUAAUUGAUACUAUUAUGUUAUACAAAUGACACUGCGUAUAAAUGACACUAUAACAUUGUAAAUGACAAUGUGUAUAAUUGACGCUAUUCAUAAAUAUAAAUGACACUAUAAAAUUGUAAAUGACACUAUAAUAUUUUAAAUAACACUGUAAGAUUGAAAAUGAUACUAUAACAUUUUAAAUGUUACAUUGUCAUUUAUAUAAUUGAAUAAUGUCAAUUAUAAGUAGUGUUAUUUGUAUAACUUAAUAGUGUCAUUUAUACGAUUUGGGUCAGGAUGCGGGUUUGAAUUAACAUGCGAAUCAAGAUUUGGGUACAGGUCAACUCGGGUAUACGGUACAUCCGGGUGUACAGGAGAUUUUGGGUACAAAAUAAAAAAAAAAUACUCAUACAUGUUCAAUUUAAUUCAAAUAUUUUUUGUCGUUCGUAUGAGAAAAAUAUUAUUUAAAGUAUGUUUCAUUAGUCAAAUAAUGUACAUCAAACCAACACAAAACCGUGAGAAUUGUUGCGCAUAAGGAAAUAUAUAGAUAAUAUUGAGAAUCUGGGCUAGGGUGGAAUUGAGAAUUCUGAGAAACAAUCUUUUGAGCAUUUGAUGAACUGAUCAACCAUAAUUUUCAGCCAUGUUUUAAUUAGAAAAUUUUAAAUCUAAGAGAUAUAAUGAAAAAGAAACAAAAAGAAAGCAAGUUUAAGAAUCAAGAGAGAUGAUUUAAGGUGUGGAAAAUUUACUUAUAACCCAUAAUUAUUGAUAGAGGAAAUUAAACAACGACAAAAAAAAAUUCACAUAAUUUUCGAAAAUAAUUUUCGAUGGAAUCCCUAUACCCCAACGUGAUGUUGACGCAGCAACUCGGGGACGAUGAAUGACACCCGAUGAGGAUUGGUUGACUCGCCGUUACGUCGAUAGAUGAAUUCGUCUUGGAAUAAUCAAGAGGAAUUCGAAAACUCUCAUAAGAGAAUAAAACUCACAAAUUUGAUUGAUAAUAGGUGUAAUUUUCGUCCACCACAAAUAAACCGUAUAUAUAGGCAAAAACUAAACAUUGUCUAAUAAGGAAACAACUUUAAAUAAAACCCUAAUCAACCAAACAAGGCCCUUACUCAUAAUUUUCGAAAAUAACCCAAAAACUAAACUAUUGGGCUCUAAAAUAACAAAGCUGAAAAUAAAAUAAAUAAGGUCUUCCAACUUCGACCCAAAAUCAAAUACUUAAAUCAAAAGCAAACAUAAACAUGGGGCGCCAACUCCACCAUCUCCAAAUGACUUCUUCUUCAACUCUUGUGUCUUCAACGACGAACCUUGGGCUGCAUCACUAGGUUACGAAUCUCAAUCCUUCUUCAUCCCCGAAAAAUAAUACUAAUAAUAAUAAUAAUAAUAAUAAUAAUAAUAAUACUCCAUAUUCUAAAAACAUAGGUGUGAGGAUUAGCUAAAGAGUCUCAUUCAGUUUUCUGUCAACAUCGUCAAUAAUUACAUAACACUACAUUUGUAGUGAUUGUUCAACUUAUUUCGACCAACCGUCGAUUUUACAUGGGUUUAUUGGGGAUUUUAAUAGUAUAAGAGAAUUUUGAAUCAUAUUUAUUUUCAAAUUUUCGAGUCAUCUCAACUAAUAACCUAAAAACACGGUUCAUAAUUUGAGUUAAAUCAAUCACUCUCCUAUAUGCUAGUUCGUGCCUAAAAUAGGCAUAGGAAAAUUGUCGUCUAUUCAUCAUGUUAUCCUAUGAACAAGACAACGAAUUAAACCGCUCUUUAUAUUGGGGCCAUUAAUUAUAAGAUAAGUAUUUUAUUUUGGGAUAUAUUUUUCAAGGUUUAAAUUACAUGAGAAUGACUAUUUUCAUUAUAAAUGAAAAUAACGAAUAAGCUAGUAUUAUAUAAGGUUGAAUAAGGUGUUUGUAAUACAUGAAUAGUUGUAACUCAGUUAGUUUGUGAAUUUUUUGCCCCCUCUAAGAUUUGAACUGAUGUUGUUCUUAAAUAUGGUAAUCGAGAGAAGCUAGGUUGAGAAAGAACAACAUGAUAGAAAAUGUAGAGAGAAUUGAUAAUGUCUCUGAUAUAUUUCUUUAGAUUACAAUGCACCCUUUUAUAGUGUAAGGGUGAAUCAAAUGUCAAACUACAAUCUCUUAAAAUCAAAUACAAUCUCUUAAAAUCAAAAGCUAAAGAUUUUAUCGUUGAAUUAUUAUUCAUGAUCUUUGAAUAAUAAUCUUUUGACUUAUGCAGAUGGUUAUUUUCAACACUCCCCCUCAAGUUGAGUAAUGGCAUUUCCGAUACUUAACUUGUCCAGAACUUCUCUGAAGACUUUUGUGUUUACAGCCUUAGUCAAUAUGUCAGCCAAUUGUUCAUCCGAUCGUAUGAAAUGAAGUUCAAUGAUCCCACUAUCGAGACUUCUCUUUGAUGAAAUGCCGAUCGAUCUCCACGUGUUUGGUUCUGUCGUGUUGUACGGGAUUUUCAGAUAUACUAAUCGCAGCUUUAUUGUCACAGAAGAGCCGACUUCCCCUUCUUGGAGGAAAGCCAAUCUCUGUGAGCAAUCUCCGAAGCCACAGGAUUUCAGUUAUCCCACUUUUUACUCCUCUGAAUUCUGCCUCUGCACUUGAUAGGGCCACUACUUUCUGUUUUUUGCUUCUCCAUGUGACCAAGUUUCCUCCAACGAAGGUAAAAUAUCCGGCGGUAGAUUUCCUAUCAUUUGGGUUACUGGCCCAAUCUGCGUCUGUAAACCCGUCAACUUCCAAAUCUUCCUUUUUUUCAAGCAAAAUCCCAUAAUCAGUGGUUCCUUUCAGAUACCGGACAAUUCUCAAAGCUGCCUCCAUAUGCUCCUUCUGGGGUUUGUGCAUAAACUGACUUACUAUUCCAACUGCAUAUGUGAUGUCGGGCCGUGUAUGGGAGAGAUAGAUGAGUUUCCCAACAAGGCGCUGGUAUUUUCCUUGAUCUGUUAAGUCAGCUCCCUCAACAAUUGUUAAUCCAUGAUUUAUCACAAUCGGUGUUUCUGCAGGUUUACACUCGAGUAGCCCAGUUUCUGCAAGUAAGUCAAGGACAUACUUUCUUUGUCUCAGGAAGAUUCCCUUUUUCGACCUUAAAAUCUCAAUUCCAAGGAAGUACUUCAGAGAUCCAAGGUCUUUCAUUUCAAAUUCCAGGAACAAGUUUUUCUUCAGGUUUACUAUCUCUUCAACAUCGUCUCCUGUGAUAAUCAUGUCAUCAACAUAAAUGAUUAAACAUGUUACCUUUCCUUAGCUAAACAGAAUAAUGUAUGAUCAGAGUUACUCUGUUUAUAGCCAUUUUUUGCCAUAGCUAAACAGAAUCUCCCGAACCAUACUCUGGGCGAUUGCUUCAAUCCAUAGAGUGUCUUCUUUAGCCUGCACACUUGACCUGCCUCGAACUCUUCGGAAUAACCUGGAGGAACUUCCAUAUAUAUCUCUGCAUUGUCAUCCAAUUCUCCAUGUAGGAAGGCAUUAGUUACAUCCAACUGAUGCAAAGGCCAAUCCUUGCAUGCUGCUACUGAGAGAAGUGUUCUUACUGUGUUCAUCUUGGCCACUGGUGAGAAUGUUUCUUCAUAGUCUAUCCCGUAGGUCUGAGUGUAUCCUUUUGCAACCAACCUAGCUUUGUACCUCUCGAUUGAACCAUCUGCUCGCCUUUUGAUUGAAAAAACCCAUCUGCAUCCCACUGGCCUCUUUCCUUCUGGCAGCACACAUCUUUCCCAUGUCCCAUUCUUAAUUAGUGCAUCCAUUUCCUUCUUCAUGGCAUCCCUCCAAUGUUUAUGUCUCCUUGCCUCUUCUACUGUCUGGGGUACAUCCUCCUCUUCAUAAANGCCGAAAUAACUUUAAAGAUUGCUCUUAGAGACUAUAAAUUGAACUUGCCAUCUCAAGCAUCACACAGGUAGUUUAUUUAAAUAACCUGUGCACGCCAAAAACUAUAAAACAUCUCUACAAUAAUUAUAAACUUCAUAUGUGUCUGCAGACAUACUUCUUUGUACUAUACCAUAUCUGCAAUGAUAUCUGUGUGCCGAGAAGGUGGCCACCUUCUACGGUCACUGACCGGCCGAUACGCUAACCGGCUCACGGUCCUAGACCGGCCGAUACGCUAAACCAGCUCACGGACCUAGACCAGCCGAUACGCUAAACCGGCUCACGGUCCUAGGCCGGCCGAUAUGCUUGAUCGGCUCACGGUCCCUUGUGUACACUAAUCCUGUCUAACAUCUGGAUAGAACAGGAUCCGAAUUCGAUUAACUUCUGGUGCCAGAUAGGUAUCAUACAAGCUCAUAAAAGUUUUGGCAAGUCAAUAACUUUAAUAUAACUUCAUUCAUAAAUAACAUCAUAAAUAGUGGCACUUCAAUUUUGAGUUUAGAAAGCCCACCUGCUACGUUUAACGAUGUAGAAACUCUUGCUCACUUAUCUAGCAUUGCUACUGUCACCUUCAUAAUAGCAAUAUUCUAAAAUAAGAUUGGAUAACUAGAUAAGAAGAAUUAGUUAUAAAUAACAUCCCAAUAAACUUUUAAUCUUUUGCAAAGCUAGGGUUGAAUCAACUAAACUAACCAAUAUAUUAACUCUUAUGAACUUUAAGAAAAUAUAAACUAAUAUUCUAUCUUAUAGGAUUUCCUCUACUUGAGAAAGUUUAUAAGUAAACAAAUCCAUUUUAUAUAGAUUACCUUAUAAUUAAUAAUUAAAACAUCAAUUUAAGAAUUGACCAAUGACUUAAGCAUAAUUUUACUCAACUGUCCCAAGUAAGUAACUUCAAAUAUGUAAUCAUAUAUGAACCUCAACUUUGAAAAAUCAAAUAAAAUCAACCUCUUUAAAGAAAAAUACAAGCUUCACUUCUUUAGAAAGCUAUUAACGUCUAUAUUUCUCAGAAAUUUACAAAAACACAAUAUCUCAAGUGUAUAAGAAGUUAUAUGACCAAAGACAGAAUCUGCCACUGAACUCUGCUGCUCCGUGCAGGACAUUUCAGAAAAUAGUUUGACAUAUCUAUUGGUCUCGGAUUUAGCUGAAAUUUUGCAGAGAACGACUACACAUGAUGAAGUUAUUACAGUAAAAAUUUCAAGUUAUUUGGAUUACAAAAACAUCAUCAAAAGCACCCCGAAACAUACUGUUCUGUCCAACCCGAAAACUGACAGAAAUGCUUAUUGACAUAUCACUCAUAUUUUUCUCAAAUAAAAGCUAUAGGAACUCAAAUACAUCAUCUUAAUACACAUUAGCAUGCUUUAGCUUAAACUUAAUUCAUGUUCAACACAUCAACAUAUAGUAGCAUGCUUGAUAUCCUCCAAUUAUUAUCAUAUAAUCUCAUUUUACAGUUCAAGGAGUACAAUUACACAAGCAUCAAACAUGUGCUAGCUUAUUCCAUGAACUCCCAAAUCCACUUAAAACUAAACUAUUAGGGAAUCAUGUUUUCUUGUGAAUAAAUACCCAAAUAAAUCCCAAUCAAUUCUUCACAUACAUAUAGACAUGUAUACAUAGUCAAUUGAUACAAAUAUAAAGUGAACAGAUUAUAAGGUCAUGGGAAGAAGCUGAAAAUUAGGACUUUGGGGUAGGGGCCGUAGGGCUUCGAUUCCUGUCUUCAUAUUACUUAAUUCUAAGUAAUUACUAACUUAAAAACAUAGAACAUUUUGUUUAAUAUCUCACUUUAGGAAUCUUAGAGAGAAGUCACCUAUGCCUCGAUUAUUUUGGCAUGAACUCAGAAUUCACAAGCAACAUCAAACACUUUCUACAAUAACAAGUAGAAUACUAAACUUUUCGGCGACGAGGGACGUGACCCUGUUCAGUCGAGCCAAGACGACGAUGAUGACGGCAUCGCUUGCUGCCUCGGAGGGGAUCGUCUAGCAGCAGUAGCGGCGUCGUGAAUGGAGCGGCGCCGCUGAAUCGCCGGUCUUCCACAGACGGCAGAGGUGGCAGCCGAACCAUGACGGCGGGAGUAGAAAAGAAUUAGGGCUCGUUUUCCUUUCUCUCCUUAUCGAGCAUGGAUUCAAGGCAGAGACGGGCGAAGCUCAGCCGUUCGUUGGCCUUCCAGUCGCGACAGUAGUAAUUUCCUUCUUCUAAGAAUUAGGGCUCCACAUCGGAAAAGAAGGGGGAACGGAGAGGACUUCCGGUGCGAGAACUUCGACCACGUCGAAGAGGAGACUGCUGUAUUGCCGAAUUUUGGGCUCGGGUGACGACGAUUUCGGAUUUUGAAAUUAGGGCUUCUCAUUUGGGUUCUUCGCUAAAUUGAGAGAAGAUGAGAGUAGUGCGAGGGGCACCGGGGAAGAACAGACGGGACGCCGGACUUGGACUCGAUGGCAGCCGACGGCGGUCGGACCAGAGGCGGCGGCUGAAUCUCCUUGAAGGUUGAAAGCAAACUAAAACUGAGGUUCAAUCAAGAGGGAGGGGGAAGAAACAACGAACUGGCAGAGGAAAAGAAAUAAGGUGAAGGUUGGCUUCCUUCUUACGAUAUGUUGAUAGCUAUCUCAAAUAAAAUAAAUAAAUAUAACAUACUAUGGGUGUGUUUGAUAGCUGGAAUGAGAUAAGGGAUGAUAAAUAAAACUUAGAUAAAUAAUAUAGAUUGAAUGAGAUUAUUAAUAUUUUAUAGGUGUUUGAUAGUUAAAAUAGAAUUCUUGACAUAACUAAUUUUUUUGUUUGAUAGACAAUAUAUAACUUAAGAUUAAAUUAACAAAUUUUUCAAAAAAAAUUAAAUUAACAAAUUACAUUUUUAACCUUAAUUUAAGAAAUAUAAAAAAAAUUAGAAAAAAAGAACCAAAAAGGAAAAGCCAUUAACCCCCACCACUUUAUUGAUGAAAUGCCGAUCGAUCUCCACGUGUUUGGUUCUGUCGUGUUGUACGGGAUUUUCAGAUAUACUAAUCGCAGCUUUAUUGUCACAGAAGAGCCGACUUCCCCUUCUUGGAGGAAAGCCAAUUUCUGUGAGCAAUCUCCGAAGCCACAGGAUUUCAGUUAUCCCACUUUUUACUCCUCUGAAUUCUGCCUCUGCACUUGAUAGGGCCACUACUUUCUGUUUUUUUUUGCUUCUCCAUGUGACCAAGUUUCCUCCAACGAAGGUAAAAUAUCCGGCGGUAGAUUUCCUAUCAUUUGGGUUACUGGCCCAAUCUGCGUCUGUAAACCCGUCAACUUCCAAAUCUUCCUUUUUUUCAAGCAAAAUCCCAUAAUCAGUGGUUCCUUUCAGAUACCGGACAAUUCUCAAAGCUGCCUCCAUAUGCUCCUUCUGGGGUUUGUGCAUAAACUGACUUACUAUUCCAACUGCAUAUGUGAUGUCGGGCCGUGUAUGGGAGAGAUAGAUGAGUUUCCCAACAAGGCGCUGGUAUUUUCCUUGAUCUGUUAAGUCAGCUCCCUCAACAAUUGUUAAUCCAUGAUUUAUCACAAUCGGUGUUUCUGCAGGUUUACACUCGAAUAGCCCAGUUUCUGCAAGUAGUCAAGGACAUACUUCUUGUCUCAGGAAGAUUCCCUUUUUCGACCUUAAAAUCUCAAUUCCAAGGAAGUACUUCAGAGAUCCAAGGUCUUUCAUUUCAAAUUCCAGGAACAAGUUUUUCUUCAGGUUUACUAUCUCUUCAACAUCGUCUCCUGUGAUAAUCAUGUCAUCAACAUAAAUGAUUAAACAUGUUACCUUUCCUUCUCUUCGUUUCACGAAUAAUGUAUGAUCAGAGUUACUCUGUUUAUAGCCAUUUUUUUCCAUAGCUAAACAGAAUCUCCCGAACCAUACUCUGGGCGAUUGCUUCAAUCCAUAGAGUGUCUUCUUUAGCCUGCACACUUGACCUUGCAUCGAACUCUUCGGAAUAACCUGGGGGGAACUUCCAUAUACUAUCUCUGCAUUGUCAUCCAAUUCUCCAUGUAGGAAGGCAUUAGUUACAUCCAACUGAUGCAAAGGCCAAUCCUUGCAUGCUGCUACUGAGAAAGUGUUCUUACUGUGUUCAUCUUGGCCACUGGUGAGAAUGUUUCUUCAUAGUCUAUCCCGUAGGUCUGAGUGUAUCCUUUUGCAACCAACCUAGCUUUGUACCUCUCGAUUGAACCAUCUGCUCGCCUUUUGAUUGAAAAAACCCAUCUGCAUCCCACUGGCCUCUUUCCUUCUGGCAGCACACAUCUUUCCCAUGUCCCAUUCUUAAUUAGUGCAUCCAUUUCCUUCUUCAUGGCAUCCCUCCAAUGUUUAUGUCUCCUUGCCUCUUCUACUGUCUGGGGUACAUCCUCCUCUUCAUAAAGAGCUGCUUCAAAGGCCCGUGCCAUCUCUGUGAGUUGUCCUUGGGCAAGGUUGGCAAUCGAGUACCUAGUCUUCCGUCCCUGCCAGUCUGGAGAGUAUCGCUUUGGUGGUUUUCCCCUUGUACUUCGGGGAGGCAAUGUGUACUGAUUUGUGGCACCUGCCAACUCAGUACGUUCAUCAUCUUCAUCCGUAUCCCUUCCAGUUUCUGUGUCAGUGUCUUCAUCCCUCUGUUCCUCAAUGUUAGUAUUAACUUGAGAACUAUUGAGAUUACUUACCUCAGGAUUUGAAGAUGGGGUUGAUAGUGGGAUCGACUCGCUGGACAUCUCGAACUGAACCUGUGUUGUAGAUGUCUCGGCGGGUGUGCUAACCUUCUCUGUUGGACCAACGUCUGGCACAGAACUUGGCAAUGACACUGAGCUAGUUUGAGACGGAUGAGAAGGUAGGGAAGGAAGGGUUGUUUGGACAGUGGAUGGUGUAUGGAGCCAACUUAGGGAGUCGACAAUCUCAUUUUUCUCCCCCUGACUCCCAUGUUGGCGGAAAAAAUAUUCUGUUUCAACGAAAUCACAGUUUAAGGUAGUGUAUAGGUGAUUAGCUACAGGAUCAUAACAUCUAUACCCCUUCUGAUUUUUGUUUGAUUGUCAUGGCUUGUCGGUGCAGAUCAUAGAUUUGGAAUGGAUCAGAUCCACUUCCAUAAGUGAUUGCCAAUCCUUCCCAUAGAUCAGCGGCGGUUGCGUACUGUGAUACCUCAUUCACAAGUCCGGUUUCGAUAUUGUUGAUCACCCAAUUGAAAACGCAGUUAUCCCGUUGCUCCCAUCUCGUGUAGCUGGGAUCGUCAAUUGCGGGUGGUUUUGAAACUCCAUUAAUGUGAGAUGUCAAACCUUUUCCCGCAAUUGCCCGUUUCAUGAGGUUAACCCAUAAUGGGUAAUUCUCCCCAUUGAGUUUCGCCUUGAUGGAAAUCUCUCCAAAAGAUUCAAGUUGGUCGUGGUUUGGUGGUUUAUGGGCCGAUGAAUCUGGAAUUCUGAGGCUUUGUUUGAGGAAUUCUGCAAAUUGUGCAGCAAAUUCCAUCGGGAAAUUUGGUGGGGUGUGGCUAGUUUUUUCUGUGUCUGAAGUUUCUUGUUCUGACAUGGUUUGAUUUGAUGUUGAGCAAAUUUGUAGGGGAGGAAAAAAUAUACAGUGCUGAACAGUAACUUGAACAGUAACUGCCACGUCACAGUAAUUUGAACAGUAACUGCCACGUCACCUUGAACAGUACUGCCACGUCACCUUGAACAGUAACUGCCACGUCACCUUGAACAGUAACUGCCACGUCACCUUGAACAGUCACUUGAACAGUACUUGAACAGUACUUUACUAUUCACCUUCUCUCCCAUUAUCAGCUCUAAGGAUUUGAAUAUUUUUCUUGUAUUGUGUUUGUACUAGAUUAUAGAAGUGGGUGAACUUUUCAAAAACUUCACUUUUGGAUUUUAAGAAAUAUACCCACGUCAUUCUAGAACAAUCGUCAACAAAUAACAAAAAAUAUCUAAACCCAUUAUCACUAGUAACCGGAGCUGGACCCCAAACAUCAGAGUGAAGUAAAGAGAAAACUGACUUCACACGAGUAUUAUUAAGUUUAAAACUGUGACGAUGGCUCUUAGCCAGAAAACAUGUCUCACAGUUCAAAGGGUGUGAAGUAAUAAGGUUUGGAUAAAUUAACCUUAAAUAUCCUAUGGAUGGGUGUCCUAACCGCCUAUGCCAAAGCCAAGUCUGUUCCUCUGUCAGUCCUUGAGUUAGCAUCACAGCACCCUGUUGAGCCAUCCUAUCCACAUAGUAGAGUCCUCGAUAUUCAGUGCCACGCCCAACUAUCUUCCCCGUCCUCGUAUCCUGUAAAAUGCAGAAGCCAGGCUGCAUUAGUAAGUUACAGUGUAAUUCUCUCGUUACGUGGCUAACAGACACCAAUUUGUGGGAUAAAGACGGGAUAUAUAAGCAGUUUGGAAGACAUAAUUCAGAGGAUAAUUUAAUAGUUCCAGCUCCUUCUACAUAUGCCAAAUUUCCACUAGCAGUUUUAACAUAUUUUUUCUGGGUUAGGAAAAAUUUCCAUAAAUCCGAGGCAUCAAAGGACAUAGUAUCUGUGGCUCCACAAUCAAAAUCCAAUGGUAGUCUUUAUCUGGUGUUCCAGAAUUAGAGGAAGAUAAUGCUAAGGCCUGAACAAAAUAAGAGCUGUGAAUGAGUGAGGGGUUUAAAAGGUAUAACCCCUCAUUACCUUCCCCUUUGUGAACCCUAGCCGCCAGGGCACCUCCUCUCUCCUCGUUAAUGCGCGUCUGUGGCGGUGGUCGUCUGACGUUGCCUGCCGGAGUUCCGGCGUUGGCGGCUCGUGUAUCACCGCCUGACCACGCCCCGCCAGUCGUUGCAGCAGACACGAUUGACGUCGGUCUUGUGCCGCUGACCGCCACCGUCGCUUGUCCAUUCGGACUCCACGGUUGAUUCCGAUUUUUGGACGUAGCUCUUGAUUUCUUCAUUUCGUCCCACCAUUCGGGAAAUCCGAUGAGUAAGAAACAUCCCUCCUUGGUAUGUUUUUUACCUCCACAGUGUGUGCAAACGAGUUUGCUCUUGUCGAUUUCCCCUUUCCUGUUGUUCCAGGUUUGAUUUCCUUGCUGUGGUCGAUUGGAGAGCGGUGGUGGUCGGCUGUGGUUGACCGCGGCGAGUCCGGACCCGAUUCCUACGGUCGGCGAUUCAGAGGAUUUGAGGAUAUCCUCGUUUGUGGCCUGCCUUCGUACCAGUCCGUAGGCUCUUCGAACAGUUGGUAAUGGAUCCUUGUCCAUAAUCUCCCUCUUGAUAUUAGCAUAUUUGUCAUCCAAUGCACUUAGAAAUUGAUAGAGGCGAUGGCGCUCCUCCCUCUUCUGAUAUCCCUCUAUGACACUAGAAGGGUUGUGGAUCAAAAUGCAGGACUUAUGGAUCUCGAUUGAUACCAGAGAUCCGAGUCCGACAGACAUACAGGACUUAGGGAAAUUUGGUGGGGUGUGGCUAGUUUUUUCUGUGUCUGAAGUUUCUUGUUCUGACAUGGUUUGAUUUGAUGUUGAGCAAAUUUGUAGGGGAGUAUGUAAAUUCCAAGAUGCAAAACUUCUUCACUGAAAAAGGUCUUGUCCACCAAACAACAUGUCCUUACACACCUGAACAGAAUGGGGUAGCUGAACGGAAAAAUAGGAUCAUUUUAGAGAUGACUAGAGCCCUUAUCAUCGACUCCCAAGUCCCUAAAUCUUACUGGCCCGAAGCCGUAGCUACCUCUGUUUACCUCUUGAAUCGACUGCCAACUCAUAUCCUAAACUUUAAACCACCCCUUGAGUUCCUAGCUACUCGCUCUGAUACCAUCUUAGGGUUCUUUUUGGUGGUUAACCUGCUCUGAUACCAUCUUAAAUAUGGUAAUCGAGAGAAGCUAGGUUGAGAAAGAACAACAUGAUAGAAAAUGUAGAGAGAAUUGAUAAUGUCUCUGAUAUAUUUCUUUAGAUUACAAUGCACCCUUUUAUAGUGUAAGGGUGAAUCAAAUGUCAAACUACAAUCUCUUAAAAUCAAAUACAAUCUCUUAAAAUCAAAAGCUAAAGAUUUUAUCGUUGAAUUAUUAUUCAUGAUCUUUGAAUAAUAAUCUUUGACUUAUGCAGAUGGUUAUUUUCAACAGUUGUAACAUCCCGAUAAUUUAGAUUUAUUUUAUAAGUUUAAUUAAUAGUAUUUUCUUGUAUAACUUUUUUUUAAAUAAUUACAUGAUACAUAUAGAUAUGCACCAUUAAUUUUAGCUAGACUAUUAUUAUUAUUAUUAUUAUUAUUAUUAUUAUUUUUGUUUCCUAUUAGAACUAGAACUCUUUAAAGACUAGUAUAAAUAUGAAAUCAAUUUACAAACCCUAAAGGAGACAUAGAAACUCGAAGCCAACAGUAAAUUUUUAGUCGGGUUUUGGAGAGCUGUGGGGCGCAGGAAACGUGAGGAGCUGGAGUCAGAUUUUCGCAGGAAAUCAAGUUCUGGCAGUUUCGGGAGAACGGCCAUAACUUCCUCCACAGAACUCCGAUUCAGCCGAAACAGGCGGCCACGGAAAGCUCUCUCGAAGACGAAGAAGUCGUAUUUCUGAGCGAAAUACGAUCUGAGGACGUUUGAGGCUUCAAACGAAGGCUUGAAGCUGACUGGUCUGUUCAGCUGCGAGUUUGACGAAAACUUUAGAAAUUUCAAGAGUUCAUAUAGGGAUGCGUUGGUAGAAAUCAUCAAAGGGAGUUAUCAAUUUCAAGAAUUAGGUGAGGGAUUAUAUGCUUGUGGUUAUAUUCAUGUAUGUUUUUAUAUGCUCUUAGUUCAUGUUUGAUUAUACUUGCUCAGCCAAGUAGAAAUAGAUGCGCAGAAUAUCAUGUUCAAGUACAUGAUCAGAACGCAGAAUAUCAUGUUCAAGUACAUGAUCAGAAACGCAGAAUAUCAUGUUCAAGUACAUGAUCAGAAACGCAGAAUAUCAUGUUCAAGUACAUGAUCAGAACGCAGAAUAUCAUGUUCAAGUACAUGAUCAGAAACGCAGAAUAUCAUGUUCAAGUACAUGAUCAGAAACGCAGAAUAUCAUGUUCAAGUACAUGAUCAUAAAUUCAGAAACAUUCAGAAUUAAGUAUAUGUGUAUGACAAUGUGAAUUAUUUGCAUGUUUAAGCGUAUGUGAAUAUGUGCAUGGUUUCUCACUGAGUAUAUUUUCAAUAUGCUCACCCCUUAUCUUCUCAGUUUUGCAGUUAUGGAGUUGAGGUGGCCAUGGAAGUUGAGAAUGACUAGAGAUUUAGUUUUCCCAUAGAAUUUAAGUUGAACUUGUUAAGUUUUAGUUUAUCGUUCUUAUUGUAUGUUACUACUUUAGUAUUGGCAAAUUGAUUUUUAAAUUAGUUUAAAUUAUGAAAGUCAAGAAAUUUUAUUUUUAACUAUUAGUCCUUCAAGUUUUUUGUUUGAAAAGUUUAUGAAAAUUGGGGUGUUACAGAUGUUGGAAUGAUUAUUGUUGGAAAUCCUUGACAUCAUCUAAUGAUACGCAGCGGAAAUAACAGUCAAGGAAAAGAUCUAGAUUUAUAAUUGAAUCAUGUGUAGAGAUUACAAACACACAACAACAGUUAGAAUAACUUACUUGUUGUGUAGCAAACAAUCCUGUAGCAAUUCUUCUAGUAAUCCUGCAAUUGAAUCCACUACUAUGGUAUCCACGCAUAUUGCAGAUUCGAUGCAGGAACAAUUCCCGAUGCACAAUUCAAUCUUCGAAAGCUAGGAAAUCUCCGAUUGAAUUCUAUAGUGCUCUAAGUGUUUUCUCUCUUAUGAUUUUACGUAUCUUACAUGUGUUCAUCUUUUUAGACAAAAGAAAUAUAUUCCUAUUCUUAUAGGAAUAAGACACGCCUGUAAACCCUAGGUUAAACAGGCCGGGCUUUUCUUUUGCCUCCAAUUAAUUAAUCCAAUAGUCAAACUAUUUACUAAUUAAUUAAAGCUUAUUAGAAUAUAUCAAAUAUAUCCUAAUCUAGUCCAUAUAUCUUUCAAUUAUUCGUGCAUUACAAUCAAUGUUUAUUCAUAUAAAUUUUUAUUUUCACUGGAUCAUUUCUCUAAUUUUCAAUACCCAAUCAUAUUUCAGUAUGAUGAGGUAAAUUCCUAAUCGCAAAUUUAGAUUUAUCUAGUGAAUCCUACAUAUUACAUAGAAGAGGUCAAUAAAAUUGUUGACAGUCAUAUAUUACCAAGUCUAUGAUAUUAUUGAUCAAAAAGAAUGUUGAACACCACAGAAUAUAAAGUGAAUGCAUCAAGACUUCCUAUUGUUUCUUGAUAUGAUCAUGACUUAAUUUUUAAAUCAUUUUGCACGUGAUAUAUUUUAUUAUUUGAGGUGAUCGAGAAAGUAAUUGAAGUGAAGACGAUGGAGAUUGGAUAACGAGAUACAUCUCCUUACGCAUAAAUAAUUCGAAUUAAAUGCUGCCGCGUGUGAUGCAACGAAAUUUGAUUGUUUUGUGAUGUGCAGAAUAGUUUGUGUAUCGUUUUGAACCAUAUUUUUAUCACAAGACAUAUCUACCAAAACUAUGGUUGUUGCCGGUUGGUACUACCAAAUUUAGAGGGUGCUGGCGGAUCCGGGGGGACUAGGGGGGGCUGAAGCCCCCUCCCAACUUUUAAGGUAUAAAUAAGAAAUACAUGAAAAAAAUAUAAUACAUUGAUUUGUUACAUUUAUGUUAUUUGUAUCCUAUUUUUCUUUCUUAUUUAAUUUUUAAUGUUGAAUUUGAGUGAAUUCUCAAGUUAAAAGUAAAAUUACGAUUAUUAAUAAUGAAAAUUAGUUUAUUUGUUUAGAAGAUGAAACAUUUUUUUUUAAAUGCAUAAAAGUAUGUCUUUAUAUGCUUUCAAUCUACUUGAUGUUGAAUUAAUUGAAUUGCGAACAAUUAUCUAUUAUAUUAAUGGAUGAAAAUGAAGUGUACGGAAUGCUAAAAAAAAAUUGUAGCCCCCGAACCUUUGUGUAAAUAUUUUCAACCGCCGAAGUUCAAUAAAUUCAGCCCCUCCUAACGUUAAAUCCUGGAUCCAUCCCUGAUGCUGGGUAGUUUCAACGUCCUCGGUCAUUUUUUUAAAUUUUAUAUUUAUUUCACCAAACUGUUUUUAAUUAGUUUACCAUUCCUCUGAUUUGGAACUUUUUUUAUUUUAGCUCCUAAAUUAAUUUUCUGUAUCCGUCAUAAUUAAGUGGGUUAAUUCUACACUUUUGCCUUGUUUAUUUUUGUGGAUUGCAAUGGAUAAAACUUAUCCAACACUUAUUUUUAUUGAAAUUAAAUUGGGUUUGAAGUUGGUAUGAAGCAUUUAAAUUUAAAUCCAUCACUCCCAUAUUAUGCAUUGCAAGGGAGUAGUAGAGUUGAGUGUAUCUUGAAUCCACUAUGAUUUGGGCCCAAAUCCCCCAAUCUAAAAACCAUCUCACUUCAUUAUCCCUUUCAAAAGGUGGAAAGAAAAAAAGAAAAGGAAAUUCUAUGACUAUGAGUGCACAUACAUAUAUAUAUUUUUAAAGUUAAGGAAGGAAAAAGUGAAUAUACAUAUAUAACUAUAGAAGGGAUUAUUGAUCUAGCUCUAGCACACUAUCUUUUGUGUUUUGAUAUCUAUACUAUUCAAAUUUUGAGGUGGUACUCGUUUUCCACUGUAUGGAGUAGCAACUUCUUCUCUUAAGCCUUCCUCUUUGAUGCGACACUGUUGAUAGUACUUAAACGCAACGAAUAACAGAAAAACCGACCAAAUUCGAGCAACAACUGAAGACAAAUUCCAGACAAGACUGAAGAUUCCAAACGCCACUGCUUUCUUGUGACUACAUGAUUCCCAAGCAUCUCCGAAUCUUCGAAUCCAGAAUGUACCUUCACACCAACCAUGCAUGCAUAAUUUUUUAUUUUUUAAUUACAAAUAUUAGCAUAUUGGGCUUCCCACCUUUACAUUUAGGCCUAAUCCAAAUGUGACUCUUUUAUUUAACCUAAUAUCGGCCCACUCCAAAAUUAGGUUUAUUUAUACAAAUGUAAGGAGCCGUUAUCCAGUGGACCCCGCGCAAGACUCAUAAACACUAAUAAUAAAUUUAGUAGUUGUAUUUGUAAAUACUAUCAACCGCUACAUUGCAAAAUCACAUGGUUCAAUAAUUACCUGCUUCCAUUUUUUUUAAUUUUUUUUAAUCAAUGUAUAUAUUAUCUGUGUGAUGAUUGUUUUUAUUAUGAAUUAAUUAGCAUUCAAUGAUCAUAUAAACAAAUAAUGUAGAUUAAACGAUGGAACUAAUACGUACAGGAUAUAUAUAUCGAUGAGUUUGUAGAGAAUAAGUAGACAAAAUUAUGAAUGGAAGAAGCAGUGUUUUUGUUUGUUACCGUAAGCAGCUAACUGAGAGGAGUAGGAAGAACAGAGUUUUGGCACCAUGAAAACUCCAAAAAAACCUGUCACCAACAAACGAAAUUUGUGAAAUUAUACUUAUAUAUUGUGUUUGUGUAUGUGUAUGUAUUUUUUUUAGGGGUUAUGGCAAAAAAAAUACACGAAGUUUGGAAAAAAGUUGUAAUUUUCACCUGAAUUUUCAAUUAGGCCAAAAAAAUAUACAUGAAUUUAUAUUUUUGUUGCAAUUUUCACAUGAGUUUGAUUUUUGGCGAAAUUAGAGCUUAGUUGGCAGUCGGACUAUCACUUAAUGUUGGUCUAACUUCUGAUGACGAGGAGUAUUUAGAAGCUCGGAGAUCUAAAAAUGCAUAAAUUAAUAUAUUUGAUUUAAUUUCGACUGUCAACUAAGCUUAGUUAGACUAAUUUUGUUGAAAGUCAAAUUUAGGUGAAAAUUGCAUUUUUUUCAAAAUUAAUGUAUUUUUUGCAAUAACCCCUUAUUUUUAAAUGUGGGGGGUUUUUAUCUGUUUAAUUUUUAAAAAAGAAAAAAGACCAACCUAAUUUUGUCAUUUUCCAGAUGGUUAUGGAGCCUCCACAUCUUGCUAAAAUAAACAGCAAAACUGCCAACUGCAACAGACAUAAGUUGACAUUUUCCCCAAUUUGAGAGGAAUUAAGGAUUCUAGAGUUUGAGCUUCAAAACGUUUCUCAACAAAUAAACUUGUUAUACCUUCAUUGUGGUGGCUGGAUCUCCAGAAAAAAGGCUUCUCAAUUUGGAUAGAAACUCAUUUACAUAAGGCAAAACCAGUUUUAUAAGCCAAACAGCUUCUUCCUCUCCAACAACAUAUUCUUCAUCUCUGCUAUCAAUAUCCACAUUUUCCCUACCAAUUUCCAAUAUAAUCUUUAAAAAAUUAUACUCAACAGAUAUGGUACAAAAAUGGUGUCAUAUUUUAAGUAGUUUUACCUGCUUAUGAUGGAUCUCAAGAUAAAACUUGCAGCAAGAUACACAAGGCCUAAGUAGGAAAGCACAGAGAUACAGCUGCAAAUUGAUCAGAAGAAGAAAAUAAAUAAAUUAAAAAGUCACAUAAUUUGCAUGAAUUUUUGCUGCGUAAAUUUCAUUAUUGAGGAAUCUACAAUCUCACCUGAUAUUGAGAUCUUUCGUGUAUGAAGAGGAAAUUAUGGCAAAUGCUCCAACCCCAAAUACAAAUGCUGAUCUUGAUGCAUCUCUCCACAUUAUUAGAUCAGCUGAAAAUGAAAAUAGGCAAUGAGAAUUGAGAAGUAAUUUAGUGCAUUUGGAAAGUGAUAGGAUCAAACUCACCAAAACUCUCAAGUCUGCUUGAAGUUCCAUGGUGAUGAUGAUCUGGAACUGGUAACAACAGAUUGAUUAAUAUAUUUAAUUAAGCAGCAGCGAGAAAUGUUGAAUUACAAGUAGUGAUUACUUGGAUUGAUUUUUUGUUGAAUUCUCGCCGGAGCUAUCUCUUCCACAGUAGGUGGCGGCGAUCUAUCGUUGCUGUGAAGCAAUUUCUUCUCUUCACUCACAAGUUUUUCCUCUGCCUCUUCCUCUUCCUCUUCCUCAAGAUGAUGAUCUUCAUUGUUUGUGGUGAUGGCCUCAUCUGCUUCGUGUCUCGAUUUGAUAAUCCCGACAUCUUCUUCAUUCAAAUCGGCAACCACUAUUUCAUCAUUGGUUGUGUGUUGAUCGACAUCGAGUGGCACUUGAUGGUCAGAACCGGAUUUGAUUUUCCUUAACUUGAGCGUGUUAAUCUCAUCAGCAACAGUGGUGGUUGCGGCGGAUCUGGUUCUCUUGAUCUGAGGCGGACUUUUCCUGAUGAUGCCGAAAUCAGAUCUCUUGUUCGUGGCACUCGUUGGGCUCUGUUUGUCUACCUGAAUCUCUGCAUUGCUCAUUCUACUACUUCUGCUGCGAAUCUUUACUGUGUUGACGUCUGCAGUUUUGACCAUCAUUUUGCUCUCCCAAACAGGCCCUGCUUUUCUAGCUCUGCCUUUUUUAGCGCUGCCAUCCAAAUCCAAUGCUUCUUUGCUACUCAUUUCACUCUCUGUUUCCUUUAAGUGCUGUGCCCUAUUUAUUGUGACUUUGAAUCCAAGGUUUUGUAGUGGUGGUGGUUGUGAUGAAAGUCAUGCACUCCCACAAAGAGAGAGAGAGAGAGAGCUUUGAAUGCUGCUGCCUCUCUUUUGCUUUCCACUUUUCUUCUUUUUUAGAUAUAGUAUUACUUUAGAUGUUGCAGAUACAAGUUUGUUAGUGUUGGUUGUGUGUCGUUAUGUUAGAGAUUCUAGUGUCACCUAACCUUUCAAAUUGUGACAUUAUAAUAUUCAAUUUGUUUAGUUAGUUCCCAAAAAUUUAACGUGUUUAGUGGCUUAAAAUAAUGUUUUGUGACCCGCAAUGUACGUAGCCCAAAAGUAGAGGUGGAUAAGGGUGGUGGGUCAAUAAUGAUUGGUUUGCAAGAAAAUUAGGGACCAUCUUAUAGUCAACUUUUUCAUUUACUUUUGUUAUAUGAAACCACAUGCACAUGCUGCAUUAUUUUUCAUUUUUUUAUUUUUAUUUUCUACUUUUUUUCCCGAUAAAUUAACAGUAUCAAAUAAAAAAAUUUAAAAAUCGCGCCACAAGGGACUCGAACUCAAGACCUUUGGCAUUAGACAUUAACCCCUUACCUGCUAACACACGCCCACUUUAUUUUCUACUUUGUUCUUGGAUAGGUGCACCUAUUUAGCAUUACAGCAAAAGCCAAUUUCUCAGGAGCCCCUCAUCUCCCUCUACAAACACACACACACACACACACAAUUCAUGUGACAGGCAUUAAUUUCGUGUAGAAGGUAAUGCUCAAAUCAUAUUUAAACAUAAGUGUCCACACUGACAUCAAUGUUACACCAACUUCCUAAUAAGUACUUCUAUUUUUAAAUUUUAUAAAAACAAAUAGUAUAUCAAAUUCCUCAUUUUACUAUUGUCCACAAUAGAUUCUUUCAUUAAAGAGUAAAAAGCAGUGUUAUUUAUUGAAGAAAAAACCAUGUCACAAAAUUACUUCCGAGGAAAGUUUGGCUUCUUGUCCCCAGUGACACGCACCGAAUUUCAGCAUAAUAAUUGAAAUGAUUGACUUCUAUACCACAAAUAAGAAUAAUAGUAAAUGUCAGAUUAUUAAUAAAUAAAGGAGACAUGUUACAGUGCAUCCGGAAUUUUAAUUAUAAUUAAUAAAUCAUAAUUCAACAUUGGUGAACUCUAAUUAGAGUUAAUACAAAGAGCUAAAUUUUAUUUCAAGAUGAUACUUUUGAAGGAGAUGACUAUACAACGUAUUUGAGAUAACCAACUAUAUCCCCCCAAAAAAGAUUUGUGUGAGAAGAUAUCUCAUAUUUUGAGAGGCCUAAAAGAUACAUACAACGUUGACCAGGAACAAAAAAGUCUCAUUCUUCGGAAAUUCCGACAUGAACUGAGUUGAGGAGUCGGAUGAAAAUCUCUUUCUCCAAUUAUAAAGAGAUAAAAGAGAGCAGAGAGUUCAACUCACCUGACAUCGAGAGCCGGGAGUGUCAUCGUAUUUCAUCAUGAAGUUCUUCUGCACCGGAUGUCCAACAGAGGAAUAGGCGAUCAUCGGGCGACUGGCCAGCAAGGCGGACUGUUUAGUUCCAGAAAGAUCGUUUCAGCCAUCCCCGAACGCCCGCUCACGGAACUGCUUCAGUAGAAUCUGGUUCCAGUUAGUUGACGCUUUUGACUUGCGACUGUAACAAAUGCCCGGUAUCUGAGGCGUUCAUCUUCGUAAGUUCCGCCGCUUCUUUCUCUGCCUUCUUUUUCUCGAACUCUAACUGCUUGCAGUUUUCCUCAUGGGAUUGCUUGAACAUCUUUACGAAGUUAAAGAGAGUCGAGAUCACUGCCACAGUAAUGCAAAACAAACAUGAGAGUGUGUUGUGAUACUGUCUAUAAGCAUAUUCGCAGUAGAACAAAUGCUCCACGACAUGCUAUUUUGUCACCGAGACUGAGUGAAACAUAGUAUGUCACAGGAUUCUAGAAGGUAGAAUGUAGCUAACGGCACACCAACCACAUUAUCAACAAUUUGGUAGUCCUACGAUAAAAUAAUACACCACUGUAAGACAGUAGGGAAUUGAGAACCACCUUGCUCAAAUUGGCAACGCGCUGGAUCUUCCCCAAAAUAAAGGAUCAGUGAGUCUACAUUCCUACCCUGCAGUCAGAAAGAGAUACACACCCUUAAAAAGGAUUACUGAGAGAAACAUUAUAAAAAUACGCCUACUAGCCGUUGAUGGUAAUGGCAGGGGCACGUACCACUGUUGCAUAAAGUGAAGCCAGUGUCCUUACUUCACCUUCAGAAAAACAAAGGAACUCCUUCAGCGCCUGGAAGGGAAAAAAGAAAAAGAAGAAGAACUAUUACAUCACAAUUGCCUAAGAACAUACGAACCAAUCUUCAUACACACAUGGGGAUACAUAUAGGGUGCGGUUCUACCGAGAACCACAAUUUUCGUGAGAACAUGAGAACCAUUAAAAUUACUGCAUCUGCUAUACAAAUUAAUGCAUCCGCUACUAAAUUUACUGCAUUCGAAAAAAAUAAAAUUUUUUCUCCCUUUAGGAUUCGAACCCAGGUUCUUCAUUCAUCCACUAAGACGAUGCAUCCACUGUAGAUCUUGAUGAUCGAAUGGUUUAAAAUGGUUCUUCGUUAUUAUUUUAUUUAGUGGUUCUUAUUUGAACCUCUCCCUCUAUAGGGUAUAUAACGUAAAUGCUUUAAUAUAUAAAGUAACACUAUUAUAGAACCCACACAUGAUUUGAGACAAAAGAUCAAUGCUUUCCCUCCACUCUUCUCCACAAACUCAAAGCUUCCCCAAAACCAAAUCUACAAACUUAAUAAACUCCAAUAUUGAAAUGCUAAAUAAUAUCAUAGGGAAGAAACCAAAGAAACGAAAAUAGAUAUACAUAUACACAAUGGUUCAAAAUUACAAACCUAAGGGCUAAAAACUAAAUUAUUUCUUGUGGAUAGAAGCAAGCACCAAGAUCCAUAUUGGUAGGGUUUAGGAAGUACCUGGCAAAAGUGAUCAGACACUGGGCCAUCACUUUCUGCCAUGGACAACUCUUGCAUAACUUUUUCAAGUCCUUUGUUAAUAGCUUGCAUCUCCUCAGCCAAAAAUUUCAGUUGUAUCUGGAAAAGGAUUCUUCGUCCAUUAAGCAAGCCACUUGGACAUUAUUCAAGUCACAAAAGAUCAUUUGAAUGCACAACAAAAAAUCAUAUAAGCAUACCUUUGAUGCAAGUUCCAGGCUGGAGAGGUCAUUCCAAAAAUCAAGAAGCUCCGGCAAUUUGUCCGAAAGAACCUGGAUGGAAAAAUGAUGAAAAACAUAAGUGAUGAUAUUUAGGAGUCAAGACUGAAGUCUUGACUAGCAUUAUUGGAAUACUCUAUAAUUAGGGUAUUACUCGCAAAGCAAAGUUGAAUGAAGUGGAGGAAGAUUUACAAUUUGUGGGCCCGUGACUAACAUAAUUUUAUUAUUGUGUCCCAAUUGCACGUUAAAAAACCUUCAAAUGUUAUGCAGUGCUCUGCUUUGCACUACAUUUAUCAGUGGAAUGACUGAAACAUUAUCUGAAGCAGAUUUGGCAGGCUCAGUAGCAAUGAACCUUUCCAAUUGUACUAAAAUCUAAGUAGCAAUGCAAGUACAUGGUUAAUAUGAUUCACUACGAAACAGAGAGAUGUUAAAUGUACCUUGCACAAAUAAUGCAUCAGGGUCAUCUUAUUAUUCCGGGCACGAGUCUCAGUAAGUUUAAGGAGGCUAUCCAACCUGAACCCCACAGCAGAUCCUGAGAUAAUAAUAGCAUUGGAAGAAAGUAAGAACUGAAGAAACAAUGAGGCAUUAUUACAAAAGAGAAGGUUCUUUGCAACUGUAUGUAACUACUGUCUUGGUAUACGAGACCAAAAAUGCUUCUUUCAGCCCACAUAUUGAACCUAAUGGUACCCCAGACUACCCGAAAUAAUGGGAGAGUGGGAGUGUGAGUCAUGGGGUUUUCCUUCAGGCAGCCAGUGUCCUACCAUGUAUUAUCCUAUAUAUAUUUAGCUCACAUAUAGUUUUAACAUUUUUUUCUAUUUAACAUUCCGCCUCACGGGCAACUACAAAUUUAAUGAACACCACUUAUAUUAUAUACGACACUAUUAUCUUCAUAUUCUUAAGUUUUUCUCUGCCAUUCGAAUUUCUGGAUCGUUAAUGCAUAGAAGUGACACACAGUUAGUCAGCUUCUGUACCCCCCAUCCCUACCAAAUCUUGGUGUAUCCAAAAAUGGAGUUACAGCUAUCAAAAAGAUAAUCAGAUAAUCUUUCUACUUUAUUCUUAAAAACAUGUAACAGAUUUUUUUCGAAAACACUGCAAAUAACGCUAUGUACGAUUUGUAGCCUUUUUCAUUGCAAGACUAAAAUAAUGUUAUAGACCUUUAGUGUCUAUCAUGUCUCUUUCCACCAAGGAACAACAAAUAAUGCGUUGCUCCUGGGGCUUUCCAACAAGACAAUAAGAAACUUCCUUUGUAUGGCUUGUGCACACAGUGCCAAAGCAGGAAGAAAAAAAAUGCACACACACAACAGCAUGACUUGCCAGAUGAGAGAUCAAUGGAUCUUACAAAGGUGGCAUCAGUUCAUCUUCUCAUGAACCGAAAAUUCCUACUCUUUGAUUGCUUAACUACAGUAAUUCAAGUGUUAAUGUCUGCGAGUGAUCUUAUGGAAUUAAAGAACAGCUUUCAUAUUUAGGUUUUUAACUUAGUGUGUGAAAGUAAUACUAAUGAACAAAUUAAUAAAGUUGGCAUAAGGAAAGAGAUGAGGCUAGUCAAAUUUAAAAUACCAGAUGAACAUGUUUACACACCUCUAGCAGUUCCCUGGUUUAAAGCAUUACCCAGAGAAAGAAUUGUUUGCAUGAUUCUUUUCAACUUAGCAGAACCCCUGAUCUGAUGAGAACAUGAUAUGACGAUUAAUAAGGCAGCAUAUUUACAGGCUUGCAAAUUGAUAAUGAAAAUUAACAAAUAGAAAAUCAAGUUGCCUGAUCUGAAGCAGAAUUCACAACAUUCAAACUAUUCCUGAGGUCAGAAACCUGAGGACAAAAAAUGAAAAGAAUAAACAUCAUAGAUGAAGGUCAACACAAUAUGGAAAAUUGGUAAGUUAUAUACUGAUUUCUGACCUGGGAGCGAAACUGAAUCUUAAACGAAUAAACUCUCAACUUAUGUUCUAUUCGUGGCACUUGCAUCAACUCCAAAAAGAACUGAGAUUACAAAGAAAAAGACCAUCAUAAUAGAAUCAGUAUAAAACAAAAAAGACCAAAAGAAAAGGCGACCAAUCUAAUGCUACGGACCUGUUCGCAUUUGCCUAAAUUAUCUUUCUCACCUUUGUAGCCCUAGAAAUAGAAAAAUCUGAUUAGAAUAUCCAAUAAUGAACAAAGACUGGCGCCUAACCAACCACAGUCCAUUCAGGAGCCCUCAUAUGUAAAACGAAAAAUGAGAAUGUUAAAGCACCACCUUUAGAACUUCCAUCUCCUCUUUAGUUGGACAAAACUUGAUUAGGUUAUCAACCUGAUCUACAUCUAAUGCAGAAUCUUCCAAGGAAAGUACUGAACUCUGCAUAAAUACCACAGAUUUCAGAAAUUAUUGGAACCAACCAUUAAGGAAGAUACGUGUAUGAGUCUACAGAAAUUUUGUAACUACAAAUCAUGCAAGGAGUCUACAAGGUGUGCAGUGCAUAAAAAAUACUCAUAGCUGAAAGGGGCAACAUGAAGCAUGUCAAUUUAGGUGUCAGAAACUUGAGAGAGUAAAAUAACUUGGAAUAGUUUCAUUUCCCCUCAUGUUACCAGAUUCAAGCUGACAAAAUCAGUAACCACCAUCAUGUAAAGAAGAUGUGCAGUAAAUGGGACAUGAAUAUGAACAUGAUACAAGCAACAUGUAAAUGUGAUUCAAGCAACAUAAGACAUGAAUUUGAGAUUCAGACGCUUCAAAAGUACAAAAACGAGAGAUUUCAUUUCUGCAACUGCAACUAAUUGAGCCUACAAGUUAAGCCAUCAUCAGAAUUGCUCUCUCAUGUACUCAGUUCUGACAUAAGAUGUAUAUAUUUUAAAUAUACCUUAGGUUUGAAAAUUACAAUUUUGAUCCUCUAAGCCUACCUUCUAACAGCAUUUAGAGCCAUUCAAAAUAUGCAACUCCAUCAGCAAGUUAGAAGAGACUGUACUUGUCAAAAUGGAAUGUUUAAAAAUAAUCCUGAUAGGGAUUGAACUAGAGCGCCUUGAAAUAGGCAACCCUUAAAUUCGCCGGAAAUGCUUUUAUGGAAUCACAAAACCAAAUGCUGGAAAUAAAAUUAUAUAAAAUCACCUAAAAUAGUCCUCAAAAAGUGAACUUUAAACAACCUAAAAUCACCCUUCAAGAAAGAAAAAAUUGUAACAUGAGAAAGAGACUUCAAAAAGUGAGGUCUCUUAGAUAUGAAAAGCACAAAAUAUUCUUUUUUUUCUUUUCUUAUGAAGCUAAAGAUUUCUUUCAGUCAUUAUUUUCACAAAGAAACUCACAUCCGAGUAAAUAUUAGAUGGAUUAUUUAGUAAUUUACAAUGAUGGGCUGGAAUUGGUAGCAUGCUGCCUACGGCCUCCAUCACAGCAAAGCUAAGAAAUACGUAAAUGUAAUUCUUGAAAAUGAUUUAUAAAAGGUGUAAGUUCUAGCUCACCAGCAUAUCUUGCAACGGUAUCUUCACUUUUGACAGCAUUAUUUCACAAUUGUAUGCACGCCUGUGUUCUAUCUGCAACACCAGAGCAGAAAUGGUUACAGCAAGUCCAAUCCUGUAAGGGAACCAUACUUGCGACCACCAAGUCACAAGGUCAAAACUGAUUAGUUAAAGAUGUGUCUACAUUCAUUUAUGAAUUUUCAUACCAAAACAAAACAAAUUUUGGAAUAGAAUCCUGGGAGAGUUCAGAAGGCACAAACAAAUCAGAUUUUAGAAUUGAUAAGUACUAAUAGUCAACAAUUAAUAAUCACCAAUUGCACUUUUUCAGGUUUAUUGCUCAUUGAAGCUAGUGAACCAGUUUUUCUGCCCCCAUCUUGAUUCGGAACUGCUGCUGAGAAGAGAGAUUCAAGUUCUGAAAUAUCAAUCUCUGGCGCCCUAACACAUGAAAAAAUGUAAAUGAGCAGGAAAAAUAUGGAUAAUAGGAAAAUCUGCAAAUACACCUACAACAUAUAUGAAAGAAUAGGACUUUCCACCUCAGCCCUGGUUAUACUUACUUAGAAGCUUCACCACAUUUUUGAGUCUCAGCCCACAAGCUUCCUGAAACAGCUUUUGAUAUUUUUAGCCAAUGCAAUGGCUUCAACUUUUUCAUUUGGUUAUUUCUUGAAGCCAUAGUACGGGACAACAAAGAUUUCCCUUUUGUUCCAGGUGGAGGGGCCAAAGGUGGUGGAGGAGAUGGAGCUCCAGGCAAACUGCCACCACUCGAACUAGCAGGACCAUUUGUAGAAUGAGGCGGAGGAGGUGCUGAAGGAACAGUAGAAGAACUUUUGGUGGCAGGGGCAGGAGGAGGUGGUGGUGGAGGUACAUUUGGUAGAUUUCUAGGUCCCGCAGGAUGUGGAGGAGGUGGAGGAGGAACUGGAGGCCCUCCUCCACCAGAUAUCUCUUUAGGAAGUUGAGGGGGAGGUGGGGGGCAAGGUACAGAUGUUACACUCGAAUUAUCCCCUAUAGCUGGGGUUAAGAGAGAUGCAUCAACCCCAGAAUGUGGAGUAGGCUCUCCUCCACUAGAACUCUCCUUAGAAGGUGGAGGAGGAGGAGGACAUGGAGUAGGUCUCGAAACCAAAUCCUCCUUCACAGGAUGACUUAAAGGAGGUGGAAGCACAGGUUUCGGAGCAUAAUCCUUCCUUAAAGGUGAAACUGAUGGGGGCAUCUGUGGUGGAGGUGGAGGUGGAGGUGGAGGUGACGAAAAAAAGAUCUCCUCAGUAACAGAUGAACUAUCGCAAGGAAGGGUUGGUGAAGGUGGAAAAGAUGCAGGUGCUUUAGCCAUUUUUUCUGUUGAAUAUGGGGUAAAGCUUGGAGGUCGAGGUGCUGAGUCUUCUGUUGAAUGAGAGGAGGGAGAGGGAAGAGGUGCAGGUUGGGCUGGACGACAUAUAAAAGCUGAAUUAUCCUCAGUAGGAGCUGCAUGUCGAUCUGACAGAAGUGGUGGUUGAGGUGGAGUAGGAGGAGUUCCAACUUUAGGGGCUUCGGUCAAAUCUUCAGCUGAAAAUGCUGAUGAAAGAAGAGAUUCAGAUUUAGGAAGUCCAUCCUCUAUGCUACUAUCAUGAUUCUUUGAACGUUCUGUAUGAGGAGAAGUACCAGGCUUAAAUAUAUUGUCAUCCCUUAAAGGGCGACCACAGGCGGUCUCUGGGGGCAGAAGUGGGAGAGAAGGAACUGAACUUAUAGAGCUGAUUUUAUCCUCUGAAGAGGUAAAGGGUAAUGUUUGUCGAAAUAGAGAAGGUCCAAAGAAACCUGCAUCUCUUGCCAACUGAGAUGGAGCACUUGAUGGUUCCUUGGGUUCACUUCGAGGAGAAACAUCUUUGGCCUCAGUCAUAGUACCCGGUUGAGCCUUAGUUUCAUAUUGUUGUCUGGGUGACAAAUGAAGUGUUUUUGUUAUAGAAAAUUGAUGAUGUGGUGAAGUUGAUGAGGGUGGAGAAUGAUCUCCAGGAGGGAUUUGCAUUAGCUUUGAGGAUAUGCUGGCCCUAAUUUCAGUCGGUGAAAACUUGUGGUCAGCCUGAAUCCUAGCCAUGUCAGCAUUUGGGGAAAAUUUUGGUGAUAAACCAGAUUGGUUCCCAGAACUUGGACUUUUUGAGCUCUUAGCGAGAGCCUUGAGAAUUUCAACUCCAGAAUCUCCUUUCGGGACUAACCAAUCCACACUACUAAACAUUUCCCGAACUUUAGCAAAGGCCUCCUCUGGAAGGCCAUCAUCCUUCUCCUCAAAGCAGGAAGAGUCUUCACGAACCAGGGAAGCAAUAGUGUCCGUCUCCGAGAAAAGAACCUUCAUUGAUAUACUAGUCAUAAUUGGAUACACCCUCAUAGAGUGUGUGAGCAUCAUAAAUAGCAGUAUAGCACCAUUUAGGAAAAAGCGUACCUCCGACCUGAAGUCCUUUGGAAACUGAUCCUUUGCAUUCCAUAAAAUGUCAAUAUCAUCCUUAUUGAGCAUUAAAAUAUUUGACCUUAUAAAAGCAGUGUUAAACAUGACACGAAACAUCAUCUCUUCCCGCUCCAUGUCAUCAUUCAAGCUGAUACAUUCCAGCACAACAUCACCUUGAACGUGGCAAUUGAUGUCAACUUUUACUAUUUCAGAUUCACCCUGAUAAUAACCAGAAACCAUGAGGAUGAAGAACUUCAUGAUUUUGGGAAGGUAGCAUCUGAACAAAGUCUAUAUACUUGCAGAUGUGCAGGGACCAUUCAGAAAAGAAACAGUGGCUAUGUAAAUGAAGCACAACUUGUACAUAUUAUAGAGCAGGGACAGAAUGAAGGGGAUACGAAAGAGAUUCCAGGGAGAAUCACCAUUGACUUCAGUGAGAGAAAAUUAAAGCUGUCACAACUACAAAUUAUUUAUAGAAGUUAGAAAAUAGAUGGUACUACAGGAUGCGGCAUCAAACUUGCAAAGAGUCACAGUCCAUUACAUCGGAAAAGCAUAGAAAAUAAACUCAGGCAACCAUAGAUGUUUUUUAACACAAUUGAAGUAUUACAAAACUAGUGUCAUUCAUCAUACUGCAGACGUGAUCCAGAACCAUCCUUUUUGGAAAUCUUACCCACUCCAAAUCCGUCUUCCAUUUUUUCUACAAUGCAUGACAGGAACAGGCAGAAAGGAAGCAAAAAAUUAUUCUCCCUGAUUCCUUGCUAGACACAGGUCAUAAUUCUAAUCUCCCUUUCACUCCAUUUUGAUUCGUUUUUAAUCUGAACAAUAAUUUUAAUAGAUUCAAAUUUCUAACAAAUAUGAAACAAGUAAAUAGAUUGGUAACAGAUCGAUAAAAAACUAAAGCCUUUAUAUUCGAUUUUUUUCAAAAAGUCAUUCCAAAUCACGAAUUAUUGCUUUUGUGUUAGUUAAUUAUAUUUGAAUUACUUGUUUUAAAGAUUUCUUAUUGACAAGCUUUAGAAAUAGCACCUAUUAAAAAGACUAAAAGGAUUAUUGAAAUGAGUUCAAGUGGAAGGAAAAAAAAA